GCCUUCGUAGCUCAGUCGUUAGAGCAUCAGACUCUUAAUCUGGCGGUCGUGGGUUCGAGUCCCACAAAAGGAG
rnacentral:tRNA from 1 species